rnacentral:rRNA from 1 species
AGAGUUUGAUCCUGGCUCAGAACGAACGCUGGCAGCGUGGAUUAGGCAUGCAAGUCGAACGGGAUCAGGCGUGGUAGCAAUACUAUGUUUGUGAGAGUGGCGGAAGGGCGAGGAAGGCAUGGACAACCUGUCUUCAGGGUGGGGAUAACCCCGCGAAAGCGGGGCUAAUACCGAAUGUGGCGUAUGGGGCGCAUGCUCUAUGCGUUAAAGGUGGGGAUCGCAAGACCUGCCCCCUGAUGAGGGGUCCGUGUGCCAUCAGCUUGUUGGUGGGGUAACGGCCUACCAAGGCAUACGGCUAGCUGGUCUGAGAGGAUGAUCAGCCGCACUGGGACUGAGACACUGCCCAGACUCCUACGGGGGGCUACAGUCGAGGAUCAUUCGCAAUGGGGGGAACCCUGACGAUGCGACGCUGCGUGGAGGAUGACGGCCUUCGGGUUGUAAACUCCUGUCAUGGGGGAAGAGCUAUGGGGGGUUAAUAGCCUCUCUGAUGGACGGUACCCCAAGAGGAAGCCACGGCUAACUCUGUGCCAGCAGCCGCGGUAAUACAGAGGUGGCGAGCGUUGUUCGGAUUUACUGGGCGUAAAGGGCGCGUAGGCGGCGCAGUGUGUCAGGUGUGAAAUCCAUGGGCUCAACCCAUGAAGUGCGCCUGAAACUGCUGUGCUUGAGUGCGGGAGGGGAGACUGGAAUACAGGGUGUAGCGGUGAAAUGCGUUGAUAUCCUGUAGAACACCGGUGGCGAAGGCGGGUCUCUGGAACGCAACUGACGCUGAGGCGCGAAAGCGGGGGGAGCAAACAGGAUUAGAUACCCUGGUAGUCCCCGCCCUAAACGUUGCACACUUGAGGUAGGGGGAUUUCACCCCCUCUGUCUCGGAGCUAACGCGUUAAGUGUGCCGCCUGGGGAGUACGGCCGCAAGGCUAAAACUCAAAGAAAUUGACGGGGACCCGCACAAGCAGAGGAGCAUGUGGCUUAAUUCGAUGCAACGCGAAGAACCUUACCCGGGUUUGACAUGUAACUGCUACUCCCAUGAAAGUGGGAUUCCUUCGAGGGUGUUACACAGGUGCUGCAUGGCUGUCGUCAGUUCGUGCCGUGAGGUGUUUGGUUAAGUCCAGCAACGAACGCAACCCCUGUGUCCAGUUGCCAUCAGGUAGUGCUGGGAACUCUGGACAGACUGCCCGUUUACGCGGGAGGAAGGUGGGGACGACGUCAAGUCAGUAUGGCCCUUACAUCCGGGGCUGCACACGUGCUACAAUGGCCGGUACAAUGGGAAGCUUGGCUGCGAGGCCUGGCCAACCCCCAAAACCGGCCCCAGUUCAGAUCGGGGUCUGCAACCCGACCCCGUGAAGUCGGAUUUGCUAGUAACGGCGCAUCAGCUACGGCGCCGUGAAUACGUUCCUCGGGUCUUGCACUCACCGCCCGUCAAG